UACGAAGGGGGCUAGCGUUGUUCGGAAUUACUGGGCGUAAAGCGCGCGCAGGCGGUCUUCCAAGUCAGUGGUGAAAGCCCGGAGCUCAACUCCGGAACUGCCAUUGAAACUGUGAGACUUGAGGACGAGAGAGGUGAGUGGAAUUCCCAGUGUAGAGGUGAAAUUCGUAGAUAUUGGGAAGAACACCGGUGGCGAAGGCGGCUCACUGGCUCAUUUCUGACGCUCAGGCGCGACAGCGUGGGGAUCAAACAGG
rnacentral:rRNA from 1 species